rnacentral:rRNA from 1 species
UACGUAGGUGGCAAGCGUUGUCCGGAUUUACUGGGCGUAAAGAGCGCGCAGGCGGUCGUUCAAGUCGCGUGUGAAAGCCCCCGGCUCAACUGGGGAGGGUCACGCGAUACUGAUCGACUCGAAGGCAGGAGAGGGAAGUGGAAUUCCCGGUGUAGUGGUGAAAUGCGUAGAUAUCGGGAGGAACACCAGUGGCGAAGGCGACUACCUGGCCUGUUCUUGACGCUGACGGCGCGAAAGCUAGGGGAGCA